AAAUUACUUUGUGUAUCAUCGUGGCGUUGUUGUACAGUGUCCCCUGCGCUGUUCUCCAUUUAGCCGGUCCGGUUCCCGAGAUCUAUUUCCUGAUGGCAGCCGUUUUCGAUUUACCGCUUCCGUAACAGGAAGAAUUGCAGCAUGUUGUUCACCUCUAGCACUCACAGAAUCCGCCCCUGCAGAUACGCUGUAGCUCCGCAUGGCUGUCCACUGCUUAUGUACAGCCUUCCACAGCUGAAUGGGGCCAGGGAUCACCUGAAAGGACUCUCUCAACAACAAAUACAGGCUUGUAGAGAGGAAUGCUUUCAGAGGUCCAUACCAUUGUCAUGAGACUGUUUUUGACAUUUCAUGCCUUGCAAUGGCAGAGAACAAAUCUGCCUCUACCCACUACUCCCAAUGAAGCUAUCGAAUUGUAUUUGUUCUUACGGGCUUACAUGCUAGCUCAUCUGUAACACAGAGGACUAGAGAUCAACUCUGUUAUCCUGACGCUGAAGGGGACAGACCGAGGUGGCUGCCCUGCUGAUUGAGAGGGGUGCCAACCUGGAGGAGGUCAAUAAUGAGGGAUACACCCCACUCAGAGGCUGCAUGAGAGGGGCAAGAGGACAUGGUGGCGCUAUUUUUGGCACAAGGUACCAACAUCAACACUCAAGAGGGGAUCCAGGAGACGGCCCUCCCGGGGCCAACUUCAAGCUGGGCUGCUCAACACUUCUCAUAGAGGGACACUUGGAGCUAGUCAAAUACCUGCUGGCUGCAGAUCACACACAGACACAACACUCGGGGUGGAAUUUACACCUGUGUUCUUGUACUCCGGAGCCAAUGUCCAUGCGACGGGAGACACAGCACUGACGUACGCCUGAGAGAAUGGACACACAGGACGUGGCUGACGUGCUGCUGCAGACGGGCGCUGACCUGGUGGUCCCUGACAGUUGGAAGAUAGACAUGAGCAAGAUCUUAGAAUCGGAAGCAGCGACGAGUAGGAGAAGGAAGGAAAGGAGAGCGAAGAGGAACUAAGGAUGGUCACACCAUCGUGGUGUCCUACCUCCUUGACUACCCCAUCCUUUUGGUCCCUGUGCCAAACCUACUGCAUCUCAGCUCUCAUCCCCCUCCCAUGACACCUCUCAGGCUCCACAACUUCCAUUCCAAACCCUGGCCAUGGUAGUGCCCCCACAAGAGACAGACAGAGUACCCUCCAACAUCACAACACCUCCAUCUGUCAUGACCCACCUGUAGCACGCGCUCCAGCAGCUGUCUCAGACGGCUUCAAGCAGAGACUGAGCCCCUUCCAGGGUAUCCCACUUGCUGCAGACAGUCCAGACACAGAUCUGCUGCCCCUCUUCUACUUGUACCAGCCCCUGGAGUGCAUUGUGGAAGAGACGGAGAGCAAACUGAAUGAGUUCAGCCAAAAGUAUCUCAGCCAUAGAGAAGGCUGAGCUGCAGAAGAAGAAGAUCCUCAAGAAGUUGUUCACCAAAGAGUGCAUGAAGGCCGAAGGCCUGAAGGGUGACCCGGGGCAGCCACCUACCUCUGUAGACCAGCUUCUUACCUUGGCCUCUCAGCAUUCUAGACUUUAGUACAGCAGACUACCCCAACAUCACUUGUCCUGCCCUACAGAGGCUGAUGGUGAGCCAGCAGUAGAUGUUGGGACAAUAGUUGACAGGCCUGGGACCCGGGCCUUCUCACUCAGGCCCCCGACAGACUCAUAGUGGCCUUCCCCACACAGACCGUCACUGACACGCUGGUAGACAUCAUGGCAGUUAUGUGAGCAGUUACUGUAGAAGCUGGUUCUUCACUUUCUUUCUUCUUCUAAUAACAAGUAGUAAGGAGAGUGUUCUGUCCCCCAUCCUUUUCCUUAAUGCUGAACAUGGUUUCAAUACAUUCAACAUAAUUCCCAACUGCUUCUAAACUAAAUCUAAUUUGAUUUAGUUAUAGGUUGAACGCUCUUUUAUUAAUUGUUCUCUCUCCCUCUGUUACAGUAGCAGUGAGCAGUAGAGUGUCUAUGUUGAACACUACAACCUCGCCCAUACCCACAGCACAGAUGCCCAUCAAUUCACUGUCUCUCUUUUAGACAGGUCUGACUCCUCUCAUGGGGGCUGCAUCGGGUGGCUAAGCUGUGGUGGGGCUGGUGCUGCAGGACAAGCACUAUAGUGUGUGUGACAUGGCGUCUCAAAUCAAAUGUAUUUCUUUAUAUAGCCCUUCGUACAUCAGCUGAUAUCUCAACGUGCUGUACAGAAACCCAGCCUAAAACCCCAAACAGCA